rnacentral:rRNA from 1 species
GAGUUUGAUCUUGGCUCAGAACGAACGCUGGCGGCAGGCCUAACACAUGCAAGUCGAACGCCCAGCAAUGGGAGUGGCGCACGGGUGCGUAACGCGUGGGAAUAUGCCCUUGACUACGGGACAACGUUUGGAAACGAACGCUAAUACCGUAUAAUGACUCCGGUCCAAAGAUUUAUCGGUCAAGGAUUAGCCCGCGUCAGAUUAGCUAGUUGGUGAGGUAACGGCUCACCAAGGCGACGAUCUGUAGCUGGUCUGAGAGGAUGAUCAGCCACACUGGAACUGAGACACGGUCCAGACUCCUACGGGAGGCAGCAGUGAGGAAUAUUGGACAAUGGGCGCAAGCCUGAUCCAGCCAUGCCGCGUGAGUGACGAAGGCCUUCGGUGUAAGCUCUUUAGAUGUGAAGAUAAUAGACGGUAGCAUCAGAAAAAGA